ACGCGAUACACUGCCAACCGGUCGCUC
rnacentral:sRNA from 1 species